rnacentral:lncRNA from 7 species
AACAGAACUUCGGUAGAGUUGAAAUGACAUGGUGGUUUUAGGCAGAAAAGCAGGUAAGUCUAUUCUCUGCAAUGCAAAUGAAGGGAUAAUUCUACCCUAAACUGUGUAGUAAUGUGUGGGAAUUUGGACUGGAAAAUUCGGACCUCAAGUUAAAGGCAUUCAAGGGUUAAGAGCUAAAUCUCCUGCUAAUAUAGAGUUAAAAAGAUCAAGUAAAAAGGAUUUUGAGUUCUGGAAUAGACUUGGACUUCCUAAGAAGAAUUUAGGAGUGUUACUUGAGUGAAGAAUAUAUCAAGGUGCAUCCCCAAGGGGUCUCCUAAGUCAGUUCCCCAUGCCAAGCGGACAGGUUUUUCAAGAAGUCAUCCAUGGUAGGGGAAUUUUAACUCCUAAGUCACUAGAGUUUUUCUGAAGAAAAUCACUCAUUGUCUUUCUUUUGGAAGGGAAAAGUCCCCAGUGACUAUAAGGAGGGAGCAUGGAAUUACCUCACUAUCCUCCAAGCUGCCUUUGGAAAUGCACAGCGAAUGGCCCUGACAAGGAUACAAGUCCAACCAUUUCAAAACAUGAGCUGUGAAGAGAAAUCAAACCACAGGACACCUCCUCUGAACACUGAAAUCCGGUUGAGAAGUCCAGAACUCUUGGCUGCUCCUCCUGAACCACUUGUACUUAGUGGGCCUCUUUAUGUUUCCCACUUGCUAAAUCAAGUAUAAGUAUUUCCAAAACAGUAGAUUUUCUGCUGGAGAUGCUUUUUAAAACUUCCACACUCAUUGGCAGUGAAAGUAGGCAGCCUACAGUCCUACAGCAGCUGCUGCUCCAUUCUCUUACUUCUCCAUAUCUUCUGAGCUAUUUUUACCUUUAUGAGCAAACUUAGAGCAUUUGCUCUGUCUUUACCUGCUCAGAAGAUUCUUCAGUACUUUUUUGGACUUCAGUAGCAGUUGACUUUUUGGUGGAAGGAAUGGUAUAAAUUAUAUAACCAGGGCUUCCUGGAAACUUGCAGGAGUACGAUCCCUUCCAUCUGUUUUCCAGAGUUCUACCAGGCUUAGAAAAUAAGCUAUGAAAAUAUAAUAGUGUGUUAACUACUACCAAGGCCCCCUCGUGUCUUCUGUUGCAUCUCAGUAAGUGGUUAAAUUCUGCCAUAUAAUGCUAUAUAACACAAUAGCAUGUUUUUCAAUUUUAAGCUAUGACAUCAAUAUUCUUACAAUCAU